UGGGGAAUAUUGCACAAUGGGCGCAAGCCUGAUGCAGCAACGCCGCGUGAACGAUGAAGGUCUUCGGAUCGUAAAGUUCUGUUGCAGGGGAAGAUAAUGACGGUACCCUGUGAGGAAGCCCCGGCUAACUUCGUGCCAGCAGCCGCGGUAAUACGAAGGGGGCUAGCGUUGUUCGGAUUUACUGGGCGUAAAGGGUGCGUAGGUGGUCCUUCAAGUCGGUGGUUAAAGGCUACGGCUCAACCGUAGUAAGCCGCCGAAACUGGAGGACUUGAGUGCAGGAGAGGAAAGUGGAAUUCCCAGUGUAGCGGUGAAAUGCGUAGAUACUGGGAGGAACACCAGUAGCGAAGGCGGCUUUCUGGACUGCAACUGACACUGAGGCACGAAAGCGUGGGUAGCAAACAGG
rnacentral:rRNA from 1 species